UGAGGAUGUAGCUCAAUGGCAGAGCAUUUGCUUAGCAUGCAGGAGGCCCUAGGUUCUACCCCAGCACCACAA
rnacentral:tRNA from 1 species